rnacentral:rRNA from 1 species
GUCAGGAAUAUUGCGCAAUGGAGGAAACUCUGACGCAGCGACGCCGCGUGGGUGAUGAAGGCCUUCGGGUCGUAAAGCCCUGUCGGAGGGGAAGAAAAGCUUGUUGGCUAAUAUCCAGCGAGCCUUUGACGGUACCCUCAAAGGAAGCACCGGCUAACUCCGUGCCAGCAGCCGCGGUAAGACGGAGGGUGCAAGCGUUGUUCGGAUUGACUGGGCGUAAAGGGCGUGUAGGCGGUUGGUUAAGUCGGAUGUGAAAUCCCGGGGCUCAGCUCCGGAAGGGCAUCCGAAACUGGCCAGCUAGAGCGCGGUAGAGGAGGGUGGAAUUCCUGGUGUAGCGGUGAAAUGCGUAGAUAUCAGGAGGAACACCGGCGGCGAAGGCGGCCCUCUGGACCGUUGCUGACGCUGAGACGCGAAAGCGUGGGGAGCAAACAGGAUUAGAAACCCUUGUAGUCC